AUCAACAGUUGUUCAAUUCCGUGAAUAAUCUCAUCGUGGCGAAUGAUAUCUUUUGAGUUUUCCCUCAUCUGUUUUUGUAUCUACCAAAUCUCAAUAGCUACGUUGCCGCCGCAGCAACAUACAUGGCCGUCGGGAAGAACAAGAGGAUUAUGGAGGGAAAAAAGGGAAGGAAGAAGAAAGCAUCACACUUGAUAUUCCUUUGGCAGUGGCUCUACUUUGCUAUUCUUUGGCAACUUACUACUCUAUUACUUCCAUGAAGUGGCUUCCGCCAAGGUUAGCCCCCAUGGUUUGGUUUCUAUUUAUAACCUUCUCGUGUCUUGACAAUAGUAAUUUUUAUUCACUUUAUAUUUUCACGCAAUCUCGUUCAGCUAACUGAUGUUUGCUACUUGUACUGUUAAGCCUACUUGAGCAGAUUAUGUGGCA